AAGUGCGAGGAAGGCAUUGCUUGUAAAUAUCCAGCAGACGCCUCCUAGAACACCCUUGGCUCAGAGUUCCUUAAAGAAUGUGCAAAAGGAUGAAAACCUCACAAACUAGAACAGCGCAUGACAUGUGGUGGGAAAUCCCGCAGACUCAUGCUAAUUGCCACUUGGACUUGGCAUUUCCAUGAACCUUUAACAAAUGGUAACUCAGACAUUUGCUACUUUGUAGGGGCCACGCAGUCACUGUAUCUCCUGCUGAACCCACCUGCUGAAAACUUCCUCCUACCCUCCAAGGGUAAAAAAAACUCCAAAGAUGGAUUCAUCCGUUUUGUCAGCAGACACGCUGAGGAUGUGGAGGUGAAAAUAAAGCCAAGCCUGGUUUUGUAGGAAGCAUGUAAACCAGAGCAACUCCAUCUUAGAUAGGAGCUAUCUAAAAUGAGGCUGAGACCUACUGGGUUGCAUUCCCAGAGGGUCAGGCAUUCGAAGUCACAGGAUCAGAUAGGAGGUUGGCACGAGAUACAGGUCAUAAAGACCUUGCUGAUAAAACAGGUUGCAGUAAAGAAGCCAGCCAAAACCCACCAAAACUAAAAUGGUGACAAGUGACCUCUGGUUGUCAUCACUGCUACACUCCCACCAGCACCAUGACAAUUUAUAAAUGCCAUGGCAACAUCAGGAAGUUACCCUGUAUGGGCUAGAAAGGGGAAGCAUGAAUAACCCACCUCACAUGUGGUAUAUCAUCAAGAAACAACCAUAAAAAUAGGCAACCAGCAGCCUUCGGGGCUUCUCUACCUAUGGAGCAGCCAUUCUUUCAUUCCUUUACUUUUCUAAUAAACGUGCUUUCACUUUAUGGACUUGCCCUGAAUUCUUUUUUGU
rnacentral:lncRNA from 1 species